GGUGUACGUGCAGAAUCAUUCAUUUAGCAGGCAUUUGCUCUUUUUAAAAAUGACAACCCUGUACUUGGCUAUAGGUUUUCAUUUCGCGCCAGUCUUCAGCCGGAAGCUUCAGCAGAAUAUUUUAGUUACUCUGCAUGGUGAAAGUUUUGGAUUUUUAUCUUCCAACAAAUAAAACUCAAUAUAUUCCCAUCGUACAUAUUUUCUUAUGCAUACCACAUUUUGUGCAAAGUGGUUGAAUCAGCGCUCCCUGAUAAUAUUAUAAUCUUUCACUCCCCAUCGCUGAAACACAAUUGUAUUUUUCGGAAGGAAUAAUUCUAUUUUAUAUCCUCUGAAAGUUUCCAAAUCUAACGGUUUAUCGAAGUGUACAGGUGCUCGGAGGUUAAGCCUUUCUAACUCUCAGUGUUCGUAGUUAACCUCUUUAAUUGUAUUGUGCCAUACUUCAUAAACUGGAUUUGUUCUUAUAGUCAGUUAUAAAAAGAUGACUUUAGCCCUGAAAUAUUUUUAGUGCCCUUGAACUUUUUCUGUAAAAGAGACACAUCUCCUCGACGCGCCAGUGAGAUCUGCUAACCUAAUUAUUUAAAAAAAUAAAGAUUUUACUACCCAUAAUUAUGUGCGUUCGUUAAUGCAUCAAAAGACACAGCAAAUCUGGCAGUGUUCAAAUUUUGGUGUUACCGAUUUCAGAGUUAGAGUGUUUAGGUUACAGUGCAGAAAAACCAAAUAUAUAACAUCAGUCAGGGUGAAACGUUAGGUGAGUGGAGUCGCAGAUCUUCGAGUUGAAUAUUUAGCCCUGUGUUACAUCCGGGAUCUUUUCGCGCCAAUCUAAAAGUUUCUGGAACAAGUCCAUUUCCCCUCGCAGUUGGCGACCGAGGAAUGGAAGUUGAUAAAGAGUAUUUUACUUCAAAGGUCCUGUGGCAAGACUGUACUUAAGGAGCAUAUUGAAACUGGAACACUUUGUGACCGCAAAUGGCGACAAAUGGUCAACAUCCUUGCAGCCCAUAUGACCGUUGCUGAGAGAAGAAUCUGUCAUUGAUUAACAAAACAAAAGUAUGCCUUGGGUAUCAUCACUUUGUUUCCAGCCCACUGAGAUCCAUUGUCCAGAAAAGGAUAUCAGAGGUGUUUCUUUCUUGGCACCAUUGGCUCUGUCUGACCUGUCAUUGGAUAUCCCCGGAGUCGCACUGUUCUAACCUUUGGAAGUCCUGUUUUUACAACCGGA